CGGGACGGGUGAGUAAUGUCUGGGAAACUGCCUGAUGGAGGGGGAUAACUACUGGAAACGGUAGCUAAUACCGCAUAACGUCGCAAGACCAAAGAGGGGGACCUUAGGGCCUCUUGCCAUCGGAUGUGCCCAGAUGGGAUUAGCUAGUAGGUGGGGUAACGGCUCACCUAGGCGACGAUCCCUAGCUGGCCUGAGAGGAUGACCAGCCACACUGGAACUGAGACACGGUCCAG
rnacentral:rRNA from 1 species